GCUGGCGCAGGCGCAGUGGCUGGUACCUGUUGCUCCAGGCGGCGUCAGGGUGAGGUGGCGGCCAGGCUUCGGAUGCGACUUCCUGGGUCUUCCGUGCGCUGUUCUCCAGGGUCAGAAUUCGGCAGGAAGAAAAGAAGGGGCGGGCCAAGUGCGAAAAAAGGGCGAGCUCACGUGGUUGUACUGCUGGCUUCUACUUCUGUUUCAGGCUGACUUCUUUGUAAGCAUCCUCGGACAAAUACGAAGCAGUUGUUUAAAAAGAAAAGACCUGGGAGAAAAGUAUUGGAUUCUAGUUCUGGCUCUGAAACAAUGUUUUAUGGUCUUUGGUGAUUAAAAAAAAGAAGGGAUGCUUUGGUAGCUCAGCGGUUGAGAGCCUGCCUUCGGCCCAGGGUGUGAUACUGGAGUCAUGGGAUCGAGUCCCACAUCCAGCUACUGUGGGAAGCCUGCUUCUCCCUCUGCCUGUGUCUCCACCUCUCUCUGUGUGUCUCUCAUGAAUAAAUAAAAUCUCUAAAACAAAACAAAGAAUAUAAAUGUACAGCCCACAUACCUGGUGUGUUAUCCCUUUAUUCCUUAGUGAAUAAAAAAUUCAUUCAUACUAUUGCUCAUCUUUAAAAAAUAUAUAUUAGAACAUUUCAGACAUUUAACCAUUUGUAAUUAUAAAUUAAGUCAUUUUCUUUUCCCCUCACCCCCUACAUUAGUGAGAUUCUGGGUUGGCACUCCAAAGACCGUCCUGGCUUACAUAUUUCCUGGGCCAUUUCUUCUACCUGGUGAGAUAAAAAGCAAGUGAAGGCAGUUUCUCUAUCAAGAGCGGCUGCUGCUUUGAAAAAGUCUUUAGGGUCAAAUCUCUGGCAACCUGACUCUGAAGCCUGCCCAGUUCAGAGAGGGGCUGGGAGAAAGAGUCAGUUUGCUGCCCUCUACAUGCUGCACUCAGUGAGCUUCGAUUGUUUAGAGGAAGAAUGGAGGAGUCCUUAAGUAUCUGAAAAGAAAUGAAACAGGUUAAUGCUGAGUAAGCCGAGAGUGGGUAAUGAUGGUGAACAUCAACCAACCACUGAAAAAACCACAGCAUUUAGGGCAUGUAAGGAUGGUCACCGUAUCUUGUUAAAUGAAAACAGGAUGCGCUAAAAUAUGCAUAGCUUGAUUUGAUUUUUGUAAAAACAUUUAGUUAUACCAGAAUGUUAAGUUUUGGUUAUCCUGGUGGUGAAAUAACGGGUAAUUUAUAUUCUUUUUACUUAUCUGUAUCAUCUAAACAUUCUACAAUAAAUAUGUAUUAUUCUAGUAAUAACCUAGUUUAAAAAGUGUGUAUGUUGGGGCACCUAAGUGGCUCAGUUGGUUGAGCCUCCAACUAUUGAUCUUGGCUCAGGUCUUAUCUCAAGGUUGUGGGCACGCUAGGCAUGGAGCCUACUACUUUAAAAAAAGUGUGUGCAAAGGGGGCUUCUUUGGUGCUAGUCUAGUAGUUCUGUUCCUUCAUCAAGAUGCUAUGUGUCUUCAUCAAGCUGUCCACUUAUAGUACAUGCACUUCUCUGCAUGUAUAGUAUACUUCAAUUUAAAAUUGUUCUUAAAGAGUGGUUGUACAGGAACUUUCAUUCAUUGGUGGGAAUCCAAAAUGAUACAGCCACUUCGGAAGGCAGUUUAGCAGCUGCAUACAAAACUAAACAUAGUUUUAUCGUGCAGUUCAUCCAUCUUGCUCUUUGGUACUUACCCAAAUGAAUUGAAAACUUAGGCCCACAUAAGUUCUCUACUCCUCAAAAACGCACACACGUUUACAGCAACUUAAUAAUUGCCAAAGACUUGGAAACAACCAAGAUGUCAGGAGGUGAAUGAUAAAUACUGUGUGAGUGUACAGGGCAAAGGAGACUAUGGGAACACUCUGUACUUUCUGCUCAGUUUUGGUGUGAACCUAAAACUCUUCUAAAAAUUAAAGUCUCUUUUUAAAAACUGGUUGUACCUCUCUUGGAAUAUACUAAAAACUAUUGAAUUGUACAUAUUAAAUAAGUAAACUGUAUGGUUUGUGAACUCUA